rnacentral:rRNA from 1 species
GACGAACGCUGGCGGCGUGCUUAACACAUGCAAGUCGAACGGAAAGGCCCUGCUUUUGUGGGGUGCUCGAGUGGCGAACGGGUGAGUAACACGUGAGUAACCUGCCCUUGACUUUGGGAUAACUUCAGGAAACUGGGGCUAAUACCGGAUAGGAGCUCCUGCUGCAUGGUGGGGGUUGGAAAGUUUCGGCGGUUGGGGAUGGACUCGCGGCUUAUCAGCUUGUUGGUGGGGUAGUGGCUUACCAAGGCUUUGACGGGUAGCCGGCCUGAGAGGGUGACCGGCCACAUUGGGACUGAGAUACGGCCCAGACUCCUACGGGAGGCAGCAGUGGGGAAUAUUGCACAAUGGGCGGAAGCCUGAUGCAGCAACGCCGCGUGCGGGAUGACGGCCUUCGGGUUGUAAACCGCUUUCGCCGGUGACGAAGCGGGAGUGACGGUAAUGGGUAAAGAAGCACCGGCUAACUACGUG